rnacentral:rRNA from 1 species
GAUGAACGCUAGCGGCAGGCUUAACACAUGCAAGUCGAGGGGCAACACGGGUAGCAAUACCUGGUGGCGACCGGCGCAAGGGUGCGUAACGCGUGAGCAACAUGCCCUAUACAGGGGGAUAAUCCAGGGAAACUUGGUCUAAUAUCCCAUAGUAUUUAGAGGUGGCAUCACCACUAAAUUAAAGCUUCGGUGGUAUAGGAUUGGCUCGCGUGACAUUAGCUGGAUGGUGGGGUAACGGCUCACCAUGGCGAUGAUGUCUAGGGGUUCUGAGAGGAAGACCCCCCACACUGGGACUGAGACACGGCCCAGACUCCUACGGGAGGCAGCAGUGAGGAAUAUUGGACAAUGGAUGGAAAUCUGAUCCAGCCAUGCCGCGUGCAGGAAGACGGCCCUAUGGGUUGUAAACUGCUUUUAUAUGGGAGCAAAUAGGUUUACGCGUAGACCGAUGAGAGUACCAUAUGAAUAAGCAUCGGCUAACUCCGUG